UAGGGAAUCUUCCGCAAUGGGCGAAAGCCUGACGGAGCAACGCCGCGUGAGUGAUGAAGGUCUUCGGAUCGUAAAACUCUGUUAUUAGGGAAGAACAAAUGUGUAUGUAACUAUGCACGUCUUGACGGUACCUAAUCAGAAAGCCACGGCUAACUACGUGCCAGCAGCCGCGGUAAUACGUAGGUGGCAAGCGUUAUCCGGAAUUAUCGGGCGUAAAGCGCGCGUAGGCGGUUUUUUAAGUCUGAUGUGAAAGCCCACGGCUCAACCGUGGAGGGUCAUUGGAAACUGGAAGACUUGAGUGCAGAAGAGGAAGGUGGAAUUCCAUGUGUAGCGGUGAAAUGCGCAGAGAUAUGGAGGAACACCAGUGGCGAAGGCGACUUUCUGGUCUGUAACUGACGCUGAUGUGCGAAAGCGGGGGGAUCAAACAGG
rnacentral:rRNA from 1 species